rfam:Aedes albopictus isolate Foshan contig22935, whole genome shotgun sequence.
UGCUUGGUAGCCUAGUUGGUAAAGCGCUCGCCUAGCGUACAAGGGUCGUGAGUUCAAACCUCAUCUGCGCUG